UAGCCCUUACCCCACCAAUUAAU
rnacentral:miRNA from 1 species